GACGAACGCUGGCGGCGUGCUUAACACAUGCAAGUCGAACGGAACGGCCCUGCUUGCUGGGUCCUCGAGUGGCGAACGGGUGAGUAACACGUGGGUGAUCUGCCCUGCACUUCGGGAUAAGCCCGGGUAACUGGGUCUAAUAUCGGACAGGAGCCAUUUCUAGUGUGAUGGUUGGAAAGUUUUUUCGGUGUAGGAUGAGCUCGCGGCCUAUCAGCUUGUUGGUGGGGUAAUGGCCUACCAAGGCGGCGACGGGUAGCCGGCCUGAGAGGGUGGACGGGCACAGUGGGACUGAGAUUCGGCCCAGACUCCGACGGGUGGCAGCAGUAGGGAAGAGUGCACAAGGGGCGCGAGCCUGAUGCAGCGACGCCGCGGGGGGGAGGACGACCUUCGGGUUGUAAACGCCAUGCGCUAGGGACGAGGCUUUUUGUGACGGUACCUAGAUAAGAAGCACCGGCUAACUACGUG
rnacentral:rRNA from 1 species